rnacentral:rRNA from 1 species
AGACCCGAAACCCGGUGAUCUAGCCAUGGGCAGGUUGAAGGUUGGGUAACACUAACUGGAGGACCGAACCGACUAAUGUUGAAAAAUUAGCGGAUGACCUGUGGCUGGGGGUGAAAGGCCAAUCAAACCGGGAGAUAGCUGGUUCUCCCCGAAAGCUAUUUAGGUAGCGCCUCGUGAAUUCAUCUCCGGGGGUAGAGCACUGUUUCGGCUAGGGGGCCAUCCCGGCUUACCAACCCGAUGCAAACUGCGAAUACCGGAGAAUGUUAUCACGGGAGACACACGGCGGGUGCUAACGUCCGUCGUGAAGAGGGAAACAACCCAGACCGCCAGCUAAGGUCCCAAAGUCAUGGUUAAGUGGGAAACGAUGUGGGAAGGCCCAGACAGCCAGGAUGUUGGCUUAGAAGCAGCCAUCAUUUAAAGAAAGCGUAAUAGCUCACUGGUCGAGUCGGCCUGCGCGGAAGAUGUAACGGGGCUAAACCAUGCACCGAAGCUGCGGCAGCGAACGUAUCACCCAAGACAACUUUGCGGAGUUGACGAUUGACGGAGCGAAGCGACGUCAAAGCGUUCAUUAAAGUCGAGUUGGCUUAGGGAUACGUUCGUUGGGUAGG